GACAGAGGUGCCAAGCGUUAGGCGGAAUCACUGGGCUUAAAGCGUGUGUAGGCGGAUUCCUAAGUACCUUGUGAAAUCCCACGGCUCAACCGUGGAACUGCUGGGCAUACUGGACAUCUCGAGGCACUCAGGGGCGAGCGGAACAAGUGGUGGAGCGGUGAAAUGCGUAGAUAUCACUUGGAACGCCAAUGGUGAAGACAGCUCGCUGGGGGUGUCCUGACGCUGAGGCGCGAAAGCCAGGGGAGCGAACGGG
rnacentral:rRNA from 1 species